rnacentral:rRNA from 1 species
GACGAACCGUGCGAACGUUGUUCGGAUUCACUGGGCUUAAAGGGCGCGUAGGCGGGCUCGCCAGUCUGUGGUGAAAGCCCCCGGCUUAACCGGGAAGUGCCGUGGAUACUGCGAGUCUUGAGGAGGUAGGGCAUCUGGAACGCUGGGUGGAGCGGUGAAUGCGUAGAUAUCGCUUGGAACGCCGAAGGUGAAACAGACUGCUGGGUUGCGCCGACGCUGAGACACGAAAGCCAGGGAGCAAACGGG